UGACAGAGUUCACUGCUGCAGCAACAUGUUGCCACUCACUCUGCUUUUUGUUGUUGGCGAUCCCAAUCCCGUGACCGCCGAACAAAACUACUUUUCGGGCCUCCAUCUCACCCACAAGUGUCUCCACCUCAACCUCCGUGAAAUUUCGCUUUUUUGAUUUUCUCAGUCCUUCUGCCAUCGUUUCCGACAAGACAUAAUACUUGCAAUACUUGUCUGUUUUAUAUGCAGAUCGCAUUCAUGAGGUCAUUUGCAUUGACCAUUUAUGGUUAAAAAGGGGCGUGUACAGGGCGGAACGUGAAGCUGAUUUAGCUGCGCACACUUGCAGGCACUCUGUGAUUUAUAAAGCAAAGAUUGCGUACGUUGUGCGUAUGCAGGGUUUUAUAAAUCUGAAUAUUUUUUGGCGCACGCAAAACUUGGCUUUUGGCCGUAGGUACAAUUUUAGUAACGAUCCCACGCACAGUUUUAUGAAUGAGACCCCAGACCUUUAGAACCUUUGCUGUUUUUAAUCAAAAUGAGAAGCCGUUUCCACCGAACCCAAUGAUCCCUGCCUCACAAUGAGUCACAUGACGGCUCCGUCACAUGACAGCUCCGUCUACCUCCUGACCUUGGCCGACUCGAACCCAUGAGCAAACGUCAAGGUGUCUCACCCCCAUCUCUGUUCCUCUGCUGUGUGGCCCGGGACGGCCCAGGGGAAGGGGGAGAAGGAGCCGCAGCUUAACGAGGGCGGCAACGACAACAAGCCCAAGGGAGGAGGGGGGAGGAGGAGAGGAGGGCAGAGACACCGAGGGAAAGGACAGACCACCACCACCUCAGCCACUGCGCCCCCUACAGGGCUGGAGGACUGCUGAACGAACACACACACACACCCCCCCCCUCCCUUCUCAUGCUAUCCUAACAGACUGUUUUCCUGGAUUUCUCCUCUACUGCAGCCCUGAGGUGUUGGGACGUCUGGGGGUCAUAGGAGAGAGAGCGGGUCCUGGGUUGGCUCUCAGCAAAGUUGUUCUGUUUAUAUAUUGGUAUAGUUUUGAAUUUACUAGACUACAGCACUUUUAAAUAUUCUAAUAUUCCAACUUGGUGCUUUUAUUUUUAUUUAGUUUUACUUUUCCCCAGACCAGAUAAGAUCAGGACGACAUGAUUCUCUGAGACCAAAUGUGGGACCGCAGUGAGGAACCUUGCACGGCCUUUUAAUACCACUACAGGAGAACACGUCUGGUCCUACACACAAUGCACUAGACGCAGGGGUGGGGGGCUGAGACCACAACACGAGGUAACGGGUCCCACUUCCCAGCAGCUAGAACCAUAGAAACACGCGCCCCACCUCCCACCAUCGUCAGUAGCAUCAAAUGGGGCUCAGGAUACCGUUCUAGAAGGAAGAGGUUUGAAAAUCACAGUUGAAUGUAAUACAUGGGGUACCGGUACUUGGGGUUUGAACUUAUGGAAAAUAAGAGAUUUUAUAGAUUUAUUUAUUGCCAUGAAAGCAGUCAUUUCAUUUAUUGAUUGAGUUCAAUCCAGGGUCUUUGUACUGUUUGUUCCUUGUGUCCAAAACGACGGUUCUCUUUGAAUGCAAUAAACUCUGCAUGCGUCCUAUUGCAGAUGACCGUUGAGCAAGGCACAAUUGGCGGGUUUCUAUCCUUCAUGCAUUAAGACCUAUGUGGAGUAACAUGUGGGCGAUUGACGCACUUUGUCGCAGACCUAUUUUCCAAUAAAUCGGCUUUAUUAAACUG